GCGCGAUCUAGUCUACGACCGCACGUAAAGUUGCGAGGAACGUCUAAUUUUUAUAGACCUCGAAGAUAUAUAAAAGUGUUUUCAUAAACUCUCGUAAUUUAAAAUAAUUCAGAGCGGCAGAUAUAAUAGAACGCGGCAAGAUUCAAAUACGUUUGCAAUUAGUUCGUGGUAACUCAAGCCAGUGCGCUAUUUACAUCGAUCAAAAAUGCCACAAGCUGCCCACGAGACCAAGAACAUUCUGAUGACAUAUUUUAUCCUUAUUCUUCUUCUAAUUUCACUUUGGGUUUUGUACUCAGGAGUGUUUUUCUAAACAGAGCAGACAUUCCUUGCCACAUGGGUUGAAAAACAGAGCAGACACGUGUCGAAAAGAUGCAUCCAGAGGAACCAAGAUCGACAUGGACACCUUGUUCCAAGCUCACCGCUUCCCGUCAUUACUUAUAGAUGUCUAGAGACAUGUUUAAAUUGCUUUGAUCGUUUAGUAAUCAAUUUCCGCGGCAAAAAUUAUCUUGCAAUAUGUUCACAGGAUAAAUAGACAGAAUUUUUAUAAAAGUUAAUCUCCUAUUAUUUCGUUUCGAAUUUCGUCGUAAAAAAAUCGGCUAUCUGUUAAAAAUAUAACUUAUACCAUCUAUAUCACAUUGACUAAUACACACGUUCUUAUACACGUUAUUAUUCAAUAAUGGACAUUUUAAAACAAUUAAAGCAAUAUUUAUUAUCUCACGAGCAUUUUCUACAUCAUUGUCAUUCAACUGUGCUCAUUUAAAGUUGUCGAAAUAAAUGCGUCAAGUUUUUCUCGUACGUUUCUAUCGGAUGUAUUUCUAUCGAUUCUACUUCAGUGUACAUAAAUAAUUUCUUGAAACUGU